GCCUCUAUAGCUCAGUGGUAGAGCGCUUCACUCGUAUUCCCUCUAGUCACUCUCUCAAGAAGCGAGUUAACAGAAAAUGAGGAAUUCUGAAUGAAGAGGUCAUUAGUUCGACUCUGAUUGGAGGCA